rnacentral:rRNA from 1 species
AUACGUAGGGGGCGAGCGUUGUCCGGAAUGAUUGGGCGUAAAGGGCGCGUAGGCGGCGCGGUAAGUCUGGAGUGAAAGUCCUGCUUUCAAGGUGGGAAUUGCUUUGGAUACUGCCGCGCUUGAGUGCAGGAGUGGUUAUCGGAAUUCCCGGUGUAGCGGUGAAAUGCGUAGAGAUCGGGAGGAACACCAGUGGCGAAGGCGGGUAACUGGACUGCAACUGACGCUGAGGCGCGAAAGUGUGGGGAGCAAACAGGAUUAGAUACCCUGGUAGUCCACACUGUAAACGAUGAAUGCUAGGUGUAAGAGGUAUCGACCCCUUUUGUGCCGGAGUCAACACAAUAAGCAUUCCGCCUGGGGAGUACGGCCGCAAGGUUGAAACUUAAAGGAAUUGGCGGGG